rnacentral:rRNA from 1 species
UACGUAGGGGGCUAGCGUUAUCCGGAAUUACUGGGCGUAAAGGGUGCGUAGGCGGUCUUUCAAGCCAGAAGUGAAAGGCUACGGCUCAACCGUAGUAAGCUUUUGGAACUGUGGGACUUGAGUGCAGGAGAGGAGAGUGGAAUUCCUAGUGUAGCGGUGAAAUGCGUAGAUAUUAGGAGGAACACCAGUAGCGAAGGCGGCUCUCUGGACUGUAACUGACGCUGAGGCACGAAAGCGUGGGGAGCAAACAGG